UUCAUUGGGGGUAAUGUUUAUUAGUUCGAUUGUGGGCAUGGUUUCACAGGUAUAUACAUCUAUGAUGAGAUUUAUCAAAUUUUACACUGUAAAUGUGUGUCAUUUUUAUAUGCUAAUUACAUCUCAGUAAAACUUUUAAAGAAACUGUUGAUAUAGGGCAACCGUCAUGAGACACUCAUUAGUUAUAUCCCUGCUUAAGAUGAGAGAUUCACGCUAGGCAAAAGAGAAAUGUAACCAUGUCAAUAAAUAUUUUCAUUGUUUAAAUAUAUACAUGGAAAUAAGGCUAAGUUAUAUUGCCCAAAGAUGAAAAACAGAAAAAUGUAGGUUCAAGAAGCUGAAACCUUGGGACCCAUUGGCACUUUGUUAGUAUGUAGAGUUGAAACCAUGCAUUUUCAUGUUAGCGAUGAACAAAAUUGUGGAGUUGAAUUUUAAGUCUUGAAACUAAAAUAGCUAUCACUGGGAGCUGUGUGGAGCUCAAUUAUAAAGGAAUUGGACUGUAAUUGUAAAUUGCUGAAUAUGGUAAUUAUUGUGGCAGAUGUACAGUAAUUAGUUUGUAACACCAAGACUUUUAUUUUGUGAUUUUUGUAAUAUCUUCCAAAAGAGGAGAAGUAGCUAUAGUUGGGGAGACUUGGAAUUGGACUCUGUUGUGUUUUUAGGAUUUAUUUUUCUGCAGCAAGCCAGGGCUUGUAUGUCAACAGGCAAUGCUGGUGAUAAGGCUUUGGCUCAGGAAUCAAAGAGAGUGCAUGGUAAUGAAAGAGCUAAGAUGAUAUAAUUGGGCAAUAAAAUUUAUGAUUUUUGAGUGGAGUGUCAAUACACAAAGGAACAAUAUUGCUGAUUUACUGGUAAUAGCCAACACAUAAGUUACCCUUGCAAUUAAGCAAAACUUUAAAUCAAGUUCUCCCAGAGUGUUCAUGGUCUCAAACAAUAGAAUAUGGAGUAGUAUCAAAAUGAGGAAUUUGGGAGUUGG
rnacentral:lncRNA from 10 species